rnacentral:rRNA from 1 species
CCCCUUAGUAACGGCGAGUGAAGCGGGGUGAGCUCAAAUUUAAAAUCUGGCUGGUUUACUAGUCCGAAUUGUAGUUUAAAGAAGCGUUUUCGGUGGCAGCCUGGGUAUAAAUCCUUUGGAAUAGGGUAUCAUAGAGGGUGAGAAUCCCGUCUUUGACUCAGUGCAUGCUACUAUGUGAUACGUUUUCAAAGAGUCGAGUUGUUUGGGAAUGCAGCUCAAAAUGGGUGGUAAAUUUCAUCUAAGGCUAAAUAUUGGCGAGAGACCGAUAGCGAACAAGUACCGUGAGGGAAAGAUGAAAAGAACUUUGAAAAGAGAGUUAAACAGUGCGUGAAAUUGUUGAAAGGGAAACGUUUGACACCAGUCAUGCGGGUGGGAAAUCAGUCAAUUGCAGUGGGGAGUGGUGAAGGUUCGGACCGCAAGGCCGGCCUGUGCCUCAUCUCUGCUGUAAGUGAUGCACUUUUCCAUCGGCAGGUCAACAUCAGUUUCUUCUGCUGGACAAAACUCCGAGAGAAGGUAGCAGCUUAGGCUGUGUUAUAGCUCUGGAGCGAUACAGUGGUGGGGACUGAGGUUUUCGCAGUGUGUGCUUUCGGGCAAGGCUGACCGGGUGCUAUGGGAUCGUUCAGUGUACAAUGCAUGCAU